CCAACACUGGGACUGAGAACUGCCCAGACUCCUACGGGAGGCUGCAGUCGAGAAUCAUUCGCAAUGGGCGAAAGCCUGACGAUGCGACGCUGUGUGAGCGAUGAAGGCCUUCGGGUUGUAAAGCUCUUUCGCUUGGGAACAAGGGAGAAUAACUAACACUUAUUCAACUUGAGGGUACCAGGUAAAGAAGCACCGGCUAACUCCA
rnacentral:rRNA from 1 species